UUCCUUUCUAUUUCGACGAGUGCAAACCAACACUCACUCUCUUUCCAAACGUGAAAACUUAUAAAUUAAUACUAUCGAUAAUUUUUCAAUUAUUUUACACGGACUAUAAUAAAGUAACAUUUAAGCAAUAAUACAUUUGCUCAAUCGUUAAAAAAUUCGUAACACACAAAAAAACUUCAAAUAAUUUUAAUUCAAUUUAAUUCCAAUACUAUACAAUUUUUAUCUCAGGAUUGUUGAUUGAUCUUAUAGGGAGAAAAAUCGAGUACGAUUUUGGUACUUUGAUAUUCAAGCGAUUUUCAUAAUGUUCAGUGACAUUCACUUGGAUGCGUCAUCGUUAGUACAAUGGGAUCUUCACAAGCAGCAACCUCCACAUGAUGGAAUCUGGAUAGACGAUAUUACAUUUGUUUUAACGAAUAUCAUAUUUUUACGCGCUAUGCAUUCCAUUAUACCUAAACGUAUACGGAUAAAAUAAAAUAUAUUUCAAUGGGUUUAAGUAAAUAGAGAAAGGAGGGACGAAAAAUAAAUUUUAAAGAGAACUUGGAUUCCGUAGCUUCUUUAUUCGCCUUUACUACUCAUUAUUAUCGUUAUUCAUAUGUACAGAAAACUGUUUUCAACCAAUUCUGUUAUGCAAAGUCACAGGUUAAAGUGCCGAGUUACUGCAAAGAUAUCGCCCUCCUGCACAAUACCACAAUUCGCGUGUGGAUCGAGUAAAAAGACAAUUGUCAUCGAUAAAAGCAAUAUGUGUAUACCUUUGUAGAAAAGUUAUUUAUGUAUGUACGUAUGUCUUCUUGAGUAAUCAGACCUUUUACUUAAUCUGAUAUAAUCGAAAAAUAUUAAUAUUAAAGAACAGGUCCCGUACACCUAACGAAAUCUAUUCAAAUCUACUAUUGCAUUAUAUAUUCCCCGCGUAAUUUCGAACGAAUCCGAGAGCUUUACCUUUGUGCUUAUAUACGCGCGGUUAUUCAACAAAAAAAAAAAAAAAAAAAAAAAAAA